rnacentral:rRNA from 1 species
ACGUAGGUGGAAAGCGUUAUCCGGAAUUAUUGGGCGUAAAGAGUGAGCAGGCGGUUGUCUAAGUCUGGAAUCAAAUGCUGGGGCUUAAACACAGUUCGCUUCAGAAAAUAGUCGACUAGAGUGCGAGAGAAGUUUGUGGAAUUCCAUGUGUAGCGGUGAAAUGCGUAGAUAUAUGUAGGAACACCAGUGGCGAAGGCGGCAAACUAGCUCUUAACUGACGCUCAUUCACGAAAGCGUGGGUAUCUAAUAU